CCUGAGUGUGGUGGCGCACACCUGUAAUCCCAGCAGCUCGGGAGGCUGAGGCAGGAGGAUCAUGAGUUCAAAGCCAGCCUCAGCAACUUUGCAAGACCCUAAUCAACUCAGCAAGACCCUGUCUCUA
rnacentral:sRNA from 1 species